GAGUUUGAUCCUGGCUCAGGAUGAACGCUGGCGGCGUGCUUAAUACAUGCAAGUCGAACGAAGCACCUCUCCCGUUGAUUGAAGUAGCUUGCUACGGAUUGAAACACCUGAGGUGACUGAGUGGCGGACGGGUGAGUAACGCGUGGGUAACCUGCCUUGUACAGGGGGAUAACAGUUGGAAACGACUGCUAAUACCGCAUAAGCGCACAGUAUCGCAUGAUACGGUGUGAAAAACUCCGGUGGUACAAGAUGGACCCGCGUCUGAUUAGCUAGUUGGAGGGGUAACGGCCCGCCAAGGCAACGAUCAGUAGCCGACUUGAGAGAGUGAUCGGCCACAUUGGGACUGAGACACGGACCAAACUCCUACGGGAGGCAGCAGUAGGGAAUAUUGCACAAUGGGGGAAACCCUGAUGCAGCGACGCCGCGUGAAGGAUGAAGUAUGUAGGUAUUAAACUUUAUCAGCAAGGAAGAAAAGACGGUACUGA
rnacentral:rRNA from 1 species